GGGAGACACUCGUGACUACAGAGACAGCGUCACCCUGUUCCCCGUCUUCUCAUGUGCAGAGGGAAGAUGAGCACAGAUCUUUAUGCGGCAAGUUUGCUUAGGAUGCAGGGGGAGGCACUGCUCCUGGGCCCAUCCAGAGAGCUCUAGAUGCCAGACACAGGAGCCAGAAAGCUUUGCUGAUGAGGUUGGUGACACACCUUGUGACGUACGCACAUGUAGACAGACACUCAGCACCCGGUGCCCACACGAUGCUACCCCUCUUCAAGCAUCUAGCAAAUACUCUCCAGGAUUAUAUCUACAUAGUGUGAAGAAAGACCUUUAUCUUCCACUUUGCCCCCACCCACACCACAAGAUAACCAGCCACUGCAGGAGCUCCCCUCCCCCACCAGCUGACUGGCUGGCCCACCACCCGGGCCCAUCUGCUCUGCAUGUGUAAGCAUUGUCAAAUUGUUUGAAUAAAUUGUCACUCUGAUUAAAA
rnacentral:lncRNA from 1 species